rnacentral:rRNA from 1 species
CCUACGGGAGGCAGCAGUGGGGAAUUUUGCGCAAUGGGGGAAACCCUGACGCAGCAACGCCGCGUGGAGGAUGAAAUAUCUUGGUAUGUAAACUCCUUUCGAUGGGGAAGAUAAUGACGGUACCCAUAGAAGAAGCCCCGGCUAACUUCGUGCCAGCAGCCGCGGUAAUACGAGGGGGGCAAGCGUUGUUCGGAUUUAUUGGGCGUAAAGGGUGCGUAGGCGGUUUGGCAAGUCUUAUGUGAAAUCUUCGGGCUCAACCCGAAGCCUGCAUAAGAAACUGCCGGGCUUGAGUAUUGGAGAGGUGAGUGGAAUUUCCGGUGUAGCGGUGAAAUGCGUAGAUAUCGGAAGGAACACCUGUGGCGAAAGCGGCUCACUGGACAAUAACUGACGCUGAUGCACGAAAGCUAGGGGAGCAAACAGGAUUAGAUACCCUGGUAGUCCUAGCCCUAAACGAUGAUUGCUUGUAUGUGCGAGUACCGAACUACCUCGCGUCGUCGAGACUAACGACGAUAAGACAACUCCGCCGUCGGGUAGGUACGGUCGGCGAACGGACGUGAAACGUUAAAAGGUAAAGUUAGACGGCGUGAGACGUGCCGAACGGACGACCGACCGACGGGAGGUAGG